AAGGCGCAUCCAGGUUUUCAGGCCCAAGGGGCCAAGGGCUGGUGGACGAGGCUUCUGGCCACUUCCGCUCUGGCCUCCCUUUCCGAUUCCCUCUCCCUCUAAGGAGAGUUUUGUGUGUGUCCUGAAAAUCCUGAACCCAAGGUCCCAAUUUGCUAAUUUGGGGGGCAUUUCAGGCUGCACCUCCCAGGGCCGGUGUGUGGCUGGUUCCCGCUCCAGCAAAAGAGGUCGGCUUUGUAUUCCCUGCGUGCUUUUCUGCGAGACGCGCACAGACCGCGAGCUCUCUCUGGGGGCUCAUCAUCCCCCAGUAUUGCUCCGCGCUUCUUCCAAACAUCCGAAGAAGCUAGGAGAAGAAAGGGUUGAGCCCUACAGAACCAAAGAGCUGGGCCUAGGAAGCUUCCGCUCCUUUCUCGGAAGGGGGUUCGCGCACCGCACACCAGGCGCGCGGGUCCUGACACGCUCUUGGGCCUGCUUGGCUGAAGCAAAGCGGGCAGCUUGGGUUCACCCGGCGUCCCCAUUCGGGAUGCCAUUUCUCUGCGGAAAGUCCAGCGCGCAGCAGCGGCUGUCUUCCCAGGCCCAGGGCACCGCCUGGACGCGGGGCCUCCAGGAGCGCCAGAGAGGUCGCGGCGCUUUCUUUUUCACUCAACCGGCCUCGGGGCUGAACGACCCGCCCUCCCGGCUUCAAACGUUAAGCCCUUCGACGCGGUCGGGAAGUAGGAGGCGCCACUCUCGGUGUCCCGCCGCUGGCGGCCUCUCGGAGCCCGCGCGCAGUCCCUGAGCCGCGCGCCGCGGCGAACGCAGCGCCCCCAUCCCCAACCUCGCGUUCCGGGCGGACCCGCGCGUGGCGGCGGGGACCGUGAGAGGGCAGCCGGCCCGCUAACCCGCAUCCAAGCUUCUCCGAGGCGAAGGGAUGCCACGCCCGAAGCUUUCCUGGACUCCGGAAGGCGGGAAGUGACCGCCAGGAGGUCCCGCCAGGAGCCUCAGUUUAGAUCGGAUCUCCGCACCAACCAGAAACACCCCCGAGAGACUCUGCGCCGAGUUCCAGGGGCGUCUCGCUGCCUCCCCCCGGCCUCCGUCUCUUGCCCGGCUGCGUGCACCCGACUUUCCUCCGACGUGCGGAACCCCGAGGAGGACGCGUUACCCACCGUGGACCGUCUGCCGUUAAUGUCUUAGACAUUGGAUGGAGCCAAGUCACCGACGUGGAUCAGAAGGAUGCGUUUCGCCGGCCUCCAAGGGGCUCUCUCGCCUUUCCCGUACUACCCACGCACAGGAAGACAAUAAAGGACUUUAAAAAUAAAA